UACGGAGGGUGCAAGCGUUGUUCGGAAUCACUGGGCGUAAAGCGCGUGUAGGCGGCUUGGCAAGUCGAGUGUGAAAUCCCAGGGCUCAACCCUGGAACUGCACCCGAAACUGCCUCGCUGGAGUCCCGGAGAGGGUGGCGGAAUUUCCGGUGUAGAGGUGAAAUUCGUAGAUACCGGAAGGAAAACCAGUGGCGAAGGCGGCCACCUGGACGGUGACUGACGCUGAGACGCGAAAGCGUGGGGAGCAAACAGG
rnacentral:rRNA from 1 species